rnacentral:lncRNA from 1 species
AUGGCUGGGCUGCCCAGCAGGAUCGUCAAGGAAACCCAGCUUUUGCUGGCAGAACCAGUUCCUGGCCUCAAAGCAGAACCAUAUGAGAGCAACAUCCAUUAUUUUCAUGUGGUCAUUGCCAGUCCCUGGGAUUCCCACUGUGAGGGAGGGACUUUUAAACUUGGACUAUUUCUUCCAGAAGAAUACCCAAUGGCAGCCCCUAAAGUGCGUUUUAUGACCAAAAUUUGUCAUCCUAAUGUAGACAAGUUGGGGAGAAUACGUUAAGAUAUUUUGAAAGGUAAGUGGUCCCCAGCCCUGCAGAUCCGCACAGUUCUGCUACGGAUCCAGGCCUUGUUAAGUGCUCCAAAUCCAGAUGAUCCAUUAGCAAAUGAUGCAGAGGAGCAGUGGAAACACCAACGAAGCCCAAGCCAUAUAAACAGCUAGAGCAGGGACUAGGCUAUAUGCCAUGAAUAAUAUUUAA